rnacentral:lncRNA from 1 species
AUUUAUCUAUUUUAUUAUUCAUGUUAUAGGUGUAUUAUGUAAUACGUAUUGAUUGUGUUAAAAAUGUUGUUGCUGCAAACAUAUUUAGUGAUUAUUUAUAUUUCAAUAAAUGCGAUAAGCGGUAUCGGUAAUCGAAGGACAGGUUAGUACUGACCUACAUUACAAGACCAGUGCAUUUAGGUGCUGUACCUGUUUAAAAAUCGAUUUAUUCAGGUGUUUUUUGUUCAGUCUAAAAUGCCCUAGUCUAAUAUUAAAAACAAUAUUAGACUAGAAAGUAGUGAACAAUACUACAAUUACAUACAUAAAAUAAUGUCUACAGGAAGCAGUGCAAGAAACCCUAGGCAAAUAUAAAAAAGAAAAAAAAAAGAAAACCAUAUUGGUGGAAUACGGAAGUUAUGGAAAUGAUAGACGUCAAAAGAGAAAAAUACAAGAAUUUCCCAGCACAAAAGUCCCCAGGAUAAUAGAGAAUUUAAAGAGUAUAAAUAAUCGUAAUGAAAAAGAAAAUUAAUGUUUUCAGCAUUCAGAAUGAGAAAGUACAUAAAUCUGGAAAGCCAAUCUGAAAAAUAGCCAAUAAAGAAUAGCCAUGAUGGUCGCAAACUUUCGGUAACAAAUCGGUAUUCAUAGAAACAGGAGAAGGGCCUAUCUGAUUCCAAAGCCUAAGAACCUAAGAUUAUUCAGCCAAUCGUGUCGUUCUGCGUCCUCGGUCUCUUCCAAUGUUGUCAAUACUGGACCGCUAUUCACCCAUUUCUCUUACUCUGUUCACAUUACUCUGUUGACAUUAGAUGUCGUCGGUACAUCUAAUCGGUGGUGGUCCUCCACUUCUUUUAUAGAGUCUAGUUCUCCAUUCCAUGAUUCGUCUUAUCCAUUAGGUACUAAUUUUUUUGUGUUUCCCUAGUAUCAAGUUGAAAGUAUAGAUUUGUAUACGCCUCUGCUUUAGCUUUUGCUAUAUUGCUACUUUCGCAUCCCUUUUAGAUACCGUAUAGUUCUGUCCGUAUGGACCGAAGCGGCAGUUUCACAUAGCAGUUGACUGUUAUCGCAGCGGCUUUUAGCGGUGGGGAUAUAUCUACUGCGAUGGGUUUUACUGCUACCUACUGAUUCACUACCCGUAUGUCCAAAUGAAAUAGUCAGCUUUUAAAGAUGGCGCCGAAUAAAAAAAAAGGUGUAGAUGGUGUAACAACUUAUUUAUUACUAUUGAA